rnacentral:rRNA from 1 species
CAGCAGCCACGGUAAAACGUAGGUGGCAAGCGUUGUCCGGAAUUAUUGGGCGUAAAGGGCUCGCAGGCGGUUUCUUAAGUCUGAUGUGAAAGCCCCCGGCUCAACCGGGGAGGGUCAUUGGAAACUGGGAAACUUGAGUGCAGAAGAGGAGAGUGGAAUUCCACGUGUAGCGGUGAAAUGCGUAGAGAUGUGGAGGAACACCAGUGGCGAAGGCGACUCUCUGGUCUGUAACUGACGCUGAGGAGCGAAAGCGUGGGGAGCGAACAGGAUUAGAUACCCGUGUAGUCCCUGUCUCUUAUAA